ensembl:ncRNA Y41C4A.23 ncRNA
AAAAAGUUGUCAACUAAUAAAAUGUAGAACAUAGAAUUUGCAACAAAUUACUAGUUGACAACUUUUUGUUAGCU